CAUUGUUCUCAGGGCGGGGCGAAAUUCCCCACCGGCGGUAAGGCAGCAAUGCCAAGCCCGCGAGCGCCUUUGGACCGUUUGGUCCCUGGGGUCAGCAGAUCCGGUGUGACUCCGGAGCCGACGGUAUAGUCCGGAUGAAAGAGAACGGGA
rnacentral:ncRNA from 2 species